GAUGAAGCGUAAUAAGGGCAUCUGGUGGAUGCCUUGGCACUGAGAGGCGAUGAAGGACGUGGCACGCUGCGAUAAGCUGGGACGAGAGGCGAGCACUCUUUGACUCCCGGAUCUCCGAAUGGGGAAACCCCACCCUUCUGGGUGAUCUUCAGCUGAAUUCAUAGG
rnacentral:rRNA from 1 species